rnacentral:rRNA from 1 species
AUACGGAGGGUGCGAGCGUUGUUCGGAAUUAUUGGGCGUAAAGAGCAUGUAGGCGGUCUGUUAAGUCUGGUGUGAAAGCCCGGGGCUCAACCCCGGAAGUGCAUUGGAUACUGGCAGACUUGAGUAUGGGAGAGGAAAGCGGAAUUCCGAGUGUAGGAGUGAAGUCCGUAGAUAUUCGGAGGAACACCAGUGGCGAAGGCGGCUUUCUGGACCAAUACUGACGCUGAGAUGCGAAAGCGUGGGGAGCGAACAGGAUUAGAAACCCUAGUAGUCC